rnacentral:rRNA from 1 species
UCCUACGGGAGGCAGCAGUAAGGAAUAUUGGGCAAUGGACGAGAGUCUGACCCAGCCAUGCCGCGUGCAGGAUGACGGCCCUAAGGGUUGUAAACUGCUUUUAUAUGGGAAGAAACCCCUGUACGUGUACGGGGCUGACGGUACUAUACGAAUAAGGACCGGCUAACUCCGUGCCAGCAGCCGCGGUAAUACGGAGGGUCCAAGCGUUAUCCGGAUUUAUUGGGUUUAAAGGGUGCGCAGGCGGAAUGAUAAGUCAGUGGUGAAAGCCUACAGCUCAACUGUAGAACUGCCAUUGAUACUGUCAUUCUUGAGUACAGUGGAAGUGGGCGGAAUGUAUCAUGUAGCGGUGAAAUGCAUAGAUAUGAUACAGAACGCCGAUAGCGAAAGCAGCUCACUAUACUGUUACUGACGCUCAGGCACGAAAGCGUGGGGAGCAAACAGGAUUAGAUACCCUGGUAGUCCACGCCGUAAACGAUGAUCACUCGUUGUUGGC